AGCGAACGCUGGCGGCAGGCCUAACACAUGCAAGUCGAACGAUGAAGCUAGAGCUUGCUCUGGUGAAUUAGUGGCGAACGGGUGAGUAACACGUGAGUAACCUGCCCCGAACUCUGGGAUAACUGCUGGAAACGGUAGCUAAUACUGGAUACGACCUACGAAGGCAUCUUCUGUAGGUGGAAAGAAUUUCGGUCAAGGAUGGACUCGCGGCCUAUCAGCUAGUUGGUGGGGUAAAGGCCUACCAAGGCGACGAUCUGUAGCGGGUCUGAGAGGAUGAUCCGCCGCACUGGGACUGAGACACGGCCCAGACUCCUACGGGAGGCAGCAGUGGGGAAUAUUGGACAAUGGGCGGAAGCCUGAUCCAGCCAUGCCGCGUGUGUGAAGAAGGCCUUUUGGUUGUAAAGCACUUUAAGCGAGGAGGAGGCUACCUAGAUUAAUACUCUGGGAUAGUGGACGUUACUCGCAGAAUAAGCACCGGCUAACUCUGUGCCAGCAGCCGCCGUAAGAC
rnacentral:rRNA from 1 species